UUGUGUGUUUUUCACACCUCGUGGCGAAAGAUGAAUCCAGAGAUUCCAGCGAUGAGUUCAGUCAUGAAGACCAGAGACAGAAACACGGCGUACUGCAGAGAGGUGGCGAAGCAGCCGAACAGGCCGAACACCACGAUGAAGGCUCCGGUGCCGGUGAGGACGUACGGAGCGUUGGAGGGGCCGUUGGAGAUCAACAACAUUUUCAGGUGAAGGUGGUUCACGAGGACGUCUGUUCAGGUUCAGGCUGACGGAUGAAAGAGGAGACGAGAUGGGAGGUUCGGAGGACGAUAAACGAAGGAGACGUUUGAUUUUGACUCCUGAUUGCGUCUGUGUGAACAUUUCAAACGGCCGGAGUGAAGCUGUGAUGUUGAAACGUUCGCCGUCUGUCGGUGUGUUCGGGAGACGAUAAGGAACCCGUCUCAACGUUUGUUUGGUUCAAUUCGAGAUAAAAGAUAAAAGUCAGAGUCUGUGUGUUUGUGUAGCUGCCGGCUGAUUGUGUUUGUGAAGCUAAAAGAUCAGAUUAAAUUUCACGCCAACAAUAAAUAAACUCAACACACUUUGUAGCACCAGUGGAGGUUUAAUUUAGACAGUCUCACUCUAUUUAACUUUUAUUACAUUUAAAUGAUGUUAUUUAUUUAUAGGGAAAAGUGGAAAUGUA